AUGGAGGUAGAAUUACAGUAUAUUGGGAAAAAACGUGAUUGAAAGUUGUCUGUUUUGCCAUUGAAACCUAUGGGGAUGGGUGGGGUUACACAGCUUUCUGAAACCGAACAGCAGGGGGCGCCCGACCUGUGGUGGCUUCACUUUUGAGAGACGAUGCUCUGUCCAGCUAUACACAGUCUAUGGUCCAGAUGAAAGAGUUUUUUCACUGAGUAGAAAUGUUUUAUAUUUUUCACAGACGUCCCCCUGAAAAAUCUAACACAAAUGUGAAAAAAGCGAUUUUAAAUGUGGGCGUGGCAGAACUAGGUAGAUACAUUAAAAAAAUGAACCAACUAGAACUUAUUGAAUGUUAAAAAAAAAAAAUCAAUAUUGGAACGACAAACCUCUCUCAUUGGUUGAACUCGCGAGGGCGUGAUCCCGCCCCGUGUUUGGUCCCGCCCCUCGCCGAGCCCGCCGUGCUGCGCGUGUGUGUUUGCGGAGAGGAGCGAGUGGAGACCGGAGAGCGGAGCGCGCGGGGGAAGGGGAGCGGGGCUGGAUCACCCGGGCUCGGUUUAGAUGCGGAUUACCGCUGUUUCUAGUGGCUCCACCGAGAGAUGAGAGGUAAGAAAACCAAAGCGGAUUAACCACAUACAUCUAGAGCGUCAGAGAGAGAGAGUGAUGGAUAGAGAGAGAGAACGAGAGAGAGAGAGAACGAGAGAGAUGUGUGUGUGUUUAUGUGUGUUUGUGUGUACGAAAGGCAAACGGGAUGUUUACUGGGAAGAGACACACCGACCUGUUCGUCCUGUACUGUGAUAGGAUUUCUUCAAUUUCUCUAAUUUCUCAAAUUAAUAACUGCUGCUGUCUCAUUCACAACACUCACGAGUUGGUAGUGCUUGUGGUUCCUACUGGAGAUACAAGGUUUUUGAGUGACAGCGCCAUCCAUCCAUCCAUCCAUCCAUCCAUCCAUCCAUCCAUCUAUCCAUCCAACCAUGCAUCCAUCUAUUCUUUUAGAAUUCUCUUUGAUGCUUUGGCCAUCACACCAAUUUGUUUAAAUUUGCCUGCAGCACCGCACCUUACUUACUGCAAGGUCGCACUGAUUAAUCUUAACAUGAAUAGAAUCAUGACUAUAGAUAUUACGGCACUGCUGCAGGAAGAAGGGUUUAAACUAACACAUCAACAUGCAUGAAAUCCGCACUUUUAUCAUUGUAUUAAUAUUAUAUGUUUACAUUAUUAUUGUUUUUUUUUCUUUUCAUAGUAGUGUUUUUGAGCAAAUACACACUUACAUAUUUACUAACAUCUGUUUCAGAUACUUAGUUUUAUAUUAUUUAAAUAAUAUUUUUCACCUAAAAUCUUUGCACA
rnacentral:lncRNA from 1 species